rnacentral:rRNA from 1 species
UAAGGAGGGAGCUAGCGUUGUUCGGAAUUACUGGGCGUAAAGCGCACGUAGGCGGAUUUUUAAGUCAGGGGUGAAAUCCCGGGGCUCAACCUCGGAACUGCCCUUGAAACUGGGAAGCUAGAAUCUUGGAGAGGCGAGUGGAACUCCGAGUGUAGAAGUGAAAUUCGUAGAUAUUCGGAAGAACACCAGUGGCGAAGGCGACUCGCUGGACAAGUAUUGACGCUGAGGUGCGGAAGCGUGGGGAGCAAACAGG